rnacentral:rRNA from 1 species
AACGAACGCUGGCGGCAUGCCUAACACAUGCAAGUCGAACGAGACCUUCGGGUCUAGUGGCGCACGGGUGCGUAACGCGUGGGAACCUGCCCUUAGGUUCGGAAUAACUCCCCGAAAGGGGUGCUAAUACCGGAUAAUGUCUUCGGACCAAAGAUUUAUCGCCUUUGGAUGGGCCCGCGUUGGAUUAGCUAGUUGGUAGGGUAAAAGCCUACCAAGGCGACGAUCCAUAGCUGGUCUGAGAGGAUGAUCAGCCACACUGGGACUGAGACACGGCCCAGACUCAGAGGGGGGGAGGGGGGGGGUAUGAGUGAAAAAGGGGCGAAGGCCUGACCAAGCAUGGCCGGGGGAGGGAGGAGGCCGUGGGGGUUAAAAAGCUUUUUUACCCGGGAUAAUAAUGACAGUACGGGGAAAAUAAGCCCCGGCAAACUCCGUG